CCUACGGGCGGCAGCAGUGAGGAAUAUUGGUCAAUGGGCGGGAGCCUGAACCAGCCAAGUCGCGUGAGGGACGACGGUCCUAGGGAGUGUAAACCUCUUUUGUCGGGGAACAAAGUCGCCCACGGGUGGGCGGAUGAGUGUACCCGCAGAAAAAGCAUCGGCUAACUCCGUCCCAGCAGCCGCGGUAAUACGGGGGAUGCGAGCGUUAUCCGGAUUUAUUGGGUUUAAAGGGUGCGUAGGCGGACAGUCAAGUCAGCGGUAAAGAUGCGGUGCUCACGGGCGUACAGCCGUUGAAACUGGCAGUCUUGAGUGGGCGAGAAGUGUGCGGAAUGCGUGGUGUAGCGGUGAAAUGCAUAGAUAUCACGCAGAACACCGAUUGCGAAGGCAGCAUACCGGCGCCCGACUGACGCUGAGGCACGAAAGCGUGGGUAUCGAACAGGAUUAGAUACCCGAGUAGUC
rnacentral:rRNA from 1 species